rnacentral:tRNA from 1 species
GCCCGUUUCGUCUAACCGGGAGGACGCCCGCCUUGUAAGCGGGAAAUGCAGGUUCAAAUCCUGCAACGGGCU